GACGAACCGAGCGAACGUUGUUCGGAAUCACUGGGCUUAAAGGGCGCGUAGGCGGGUCAGCAAGUCCGGGGUGAAAUCUUUCGGCUCAACCGGAAAAGUGCCUUGGAUACUGCUGGUCUGGAGGGAGGUAGGGGCAGCUGGAACUUCCGGUGGAGCGGUGAAAUGCGUUGAUAUCGGAAGGAACUCCGGUGGCGAAGGCGAGCUGCUGGACCUCUUCUGACGCUGAGGCGCGAAAGCUAGGGGAGCAAACGGG
rnacentral:rRNA from 1 species